rnacentral:rRNA from 1 species
GAUGAACGCUGGCGGCGUGCCUAAUACAUGCAAGUCGAGCGAACAGACGAGGAGCUUGCUCCUCUGACGUUAGCGGCGGACGGGUGAGUAACACGUGGAUAACCUACCUAUAAGACUGGGAUAACUUCGGGAAACCGGAGCUAAUACCGGAUAAUAUAUUGAACCGCAUGGCUCAAUAAUGAAAGACGGUUUUGCUGUCACUUAUAGAUGGAUCCGCGCCGCAUUAGCUAGUUGGUAAGGUAACGGCUUACCAAGGCAACGAUGCGUAGCCGACCUGAGAGGGUGAUCGGCCACACUGGAACUGAGACACGGUCCAGACUCCUACGGGAGGCAGCAGUAGGGAAUCUUCCGCAAUGGGCGAAAGCCUGACGGAGCAACGCCGCGUGAGUGAUGAAGGUCUUCGGAUCGUAAAACUCUGUUAUUAGGGAAGAACAAAUGUGUAAGUAACUAUGCACGUCUUGACGGUACCUAAUCAGAAAGCCACGGCUAACUACGUG